GACAGAGGGUGCAAACGUUGUUCGGAAUUACUGGGCGUAAAGCGCGUGUAGGCGGCUAAGUAAGUCGGGCGUGAAAUCCCACGGCUCAACCGUGGAAGUGCACUCGAAACUGCAUAGCUAGAGUCCUGGAGAGGAAGGUGGAAUGCUUGGUGUAGAGGUGAAAUUCGUAGAUAUCGAGAGGAACAUCGGUGGCGAAGGCGGCCUUCUGGACAGUGACUGACGCUGAGACGCGAAAGCGUGGGGAGCAAACAGG
rnacentral:rRNA from 1 species